GGUCAUAGCUCAGUGGUAGAGCAUCUGAUUUGCAUGCAGAAGGCCCUAGGUUCAAUCCUUGAGAUCUCCA